CUUCAGGGAGCCGAGCCACAGCGGCUCGUCCCCGGCCCGCUCCUGACCGUAGGUGGCCAGGAGCGCCUGCGCCUC
rfam:Streptomyces albireticuli strain MDJK11, complete genome.